rnacentral:lncRNA from 1 species
AAAUAUUCUUCCUCCAUGUCCGGCUAGCAAUGAUGGAUCUGAUCAGGAGGGUCAUGAGAAUGAUAAGGAGAGUGAGGGUGAUAAAGAGUAGUUGUAUCUAUUUGACAUUUUAGACUUCUAUAUUUUUGGAAUUGUUUAAUUUGAUCGUAUUUUAGUUUAUUUUGAAGUUGGAUGAAGUUUAUUUUGAAAUAGUUUGUAUAUGUUGAAAAUAUUGUGUUGUUUUGGUUGGAUGAAGUUUAUUUGGAUUUGGGUUGUUUUGGUAUAAAUAUGCAGGUGGGCAACUAAAAAUUGC